AGACUGCAACUUCGGUCGCGAAGAGCUCCAUGUAAUCACGGCGUCGGGCUCGGGCUACAUCGGGGGCAACGGUCGCCCA
rnacentral:sRNA from 1 species